AUCUACCUGACGAGUCCCAAGCAGAACGAAACGCGCGUCCUGGAU
rfam:Schistosoma curassoni strain Dakar, Senegal genome assembly, scaffold: SCTD_contig0003344